rfam:Triticum aestivum genome assembly, contig: Triticum_aestivum_CS42_TGACv1_scaffold_393809_5AS
GAUGUACUCCCUCCGUCCGGAAAUACUUGUCAUCAAAAUGGCUAAAAGAAAGAUGCAUCUAGAUGUAUUUUAGUUCUAGAUACAUCCUUUUUUAUCCAUUUUGAUGACAAGUAUUUUCAGACGGAGGGAGUAUUUU